rnacentral:rRNA from 1 species
GAGCGUAUGGGUAUAAGGUAGCUUAACUGUGAGACCUACAAGUCGAUCAGAUACGAAAGUAGGGCCAAAUGAUCCGGUGGUUGAAAGUGGAAUCGCCAUCGCUCAACGGACAAAAGGUACGCCAGGGAUAACAGGCUGAUCGCGCCCAAGAGUUCAUAUCGACGGCGCGGUUUGGCACCUCGAUGUCGGCUCAUCGCAUCCUGGGGCUGGAGAAGGUCCCAAGGGUCGGGCUGUUCGCCCGUUAAAGCGGUACGCGAGCUGGGUUCAGAACGUCGUGAGACAGUUCGGUCCUUAUCCACUGUGGGCGCAAGAAACGUGAGGGGUUCACUCUCUAGUACGAGAGGACCGAGAGUGACGCACCUCUGGUGUUCCGGUUGUCGCAUCAGCGGCAGCGCCGGGUAGCUAUGUGCGGAAAGGAUAAGCGCUGAAAGCAUCUAAGCGCCAAGCCUCUCCCAAGAUAACGUUUCUCCAUCAAGGCCGAGGAAGACUACCUCGUUGAUAGGUCGCAGGUGUAAGCGUGGUGACACGUUCAGCCGAGCGAUACUAAUAGCCUGAUUGUUUGGGUUCU